CCAAUAGCGUAUAUUAAAGUUGUUGCAGUUAAAAAGCUCGUAGUUGAAUUUCGGGAUCAAUAUGUCGGUCGUGCCUCGGUACGUACUGGCGUCAUUGGUUUCUCCCUUCUGAAGAACCUCGAUGCCAUUAAUUUGGUGUCGUGGGGAAUCAGGACUGUUACUUUGAAAAAAUUAGAGUGUUUAAAGCAGGCUCACGCUUGAAUACAUUAGCAUGGAAUAAUGAAAUAGGACGUUUGAUUCUAUUUUGUUGGUUUCUAGGAUCGACGUAAUGAUUAAUAGGGAUAGUUGGGGGCAUUAGUAUUCAAUUGUCAGAGGUGAAAUUCUUGGAUUUAUUGAAGACUAACUACUGCGAAAGCAUUUGCCAAGGAUGUUUUCAUUAAUCAAGAACGAAAGUUAGGGGAUCGAAGACGAUCAGAUACCGUCGUAGUCUUAACCAUAAACUAUGCCGACUAGGGAUCGGAUGAUGUUAAUUUUUUAAUGACUCAUUCGGCGCCUUACG
rnacentral:rRNA from 1 species